AUCAACGCCCCACUUGGCGAUGACCGAUUGCGAGCCGUUCACGGUAAUGAUCCUGAAGCUCUCGUCCAAUCCGGCCGGCCUAUUGGAGACAGGCGCGGAGCCUACAACCACGACGGGGCUAUUGAAUCGAAAGGGUGCGGCCGGUGGAUCCGGCCGCAUGAUGCGGU
rnacentral:sRNA from 1 species